rnacentral:misc_RNA from 1 species
AACUUCUUCUCAACCCAUCCAGUUUCUCUGUGUGUGGGCUUUGGACAAUGGGGGCUUGCUGGUUGCUAUUUUUCCAGCUCUCCUGAAAAGCAUUAGCGGCAUCUGGGCUGCUGGCAGGUGUGAUAACUCGUCUACACCUUUGCAGUGGCUGCAUUUGUGCUGCUUUAGAGGGCAUUGAUGAA